rnacentral:rRNA from 1 species
GAUGAACGCUGGCGGUAUGCUUAACACAUGCGAGUCGAACGGACUCUUCGGAGUUAGUGGCGGACGGGUGAGUAACGCGUGAGAAUCUGGCUUUGGGUUCGGGACAACCACUGGAAACGGUGGCUAAUACCGGAUGUGCCGAGAGGUAAAAGAGAAAUUGCCUGAAGAUGAGCUCGCGUCUGAUUAGCUAGUUGGUGAGGUAAAGGCUCACCAAGGCAGCGAUCAGUAGCUGGUCUGAGAGGAUGACCAGCCACACUGGGACUGAGACACGGCCCAGACUCCUACGGGAGGCAGCAGUGGGGAAUUGUCCGCAAUGGGCGAAAGCCUGACGGAGCAAUACCGCGUGAGGGAAGAAGGCUCUUGGGUUGUAAACCUCUUUUCUUAGGGAAGAACAAAAUGACGGUACCUAAGGAAUCAGCAUCGGCUAACUCCGUG